rnacentral:misc_RNA from 1 species
AAAACCCCAUCACUCCAACUGUGGUGUUGGCGGCAGUGGUGCCAGCACGGAGGAUUCUAUCCCCGUCGGCCCACUCCACCCAAAUGCAUCGGGCGGUCAUACUGAUCUCACCAAACUGACUUUGUAAAAUCAAUCAGCCAGGAGUGACGUUGUGUCCUGCCAAACCUUUGGGCCCCCAUCCCAAGCGGUACAAGUAAUG